UGCGCUGCAUCUUAUUCCAGUGAGUUGCCGUCUGCUGCAUCUCUAUUUCUCUCCAUUUUUACUUUUCUAUUCUUCCUCUACAAGUCAGCGAGCAGUACCUCUCAUUCCUCCAUUUUUCGACUGUUUCUGUUUUGGCCGUGAGGUUUGGGUUGCAUUUGUGUGUCUGGGUGUUGUGCGUGGUGAGUCUUCAGGUAAAUCUCUCUCUUUGCUCUUAGGUCGAUGCCUUCCCCGUACUUUAUUUCUCUGGUUUUAUGCAAUUCCGACUUUGAAUUGUUCUAGGCGGUGCCGUUGUUUUCUUCCCCACUCCGAAACCCCACUUUGACGCUCAUUUCUCUUACAAUCCACUUUGUUUCACUUCUGGCCGCAUUGUGUUUAAUCUCCUUGCUGUGGCUUGGCAUUGAACUCUGUUGAGCGGGUAAUGAGGCCGUGAACCAUACUUUUCAUGGUGACGAGACUAAUAGAGGUCAUUUUCAAGGCUUAGAUAAUACGCUACAAGAGUCAGAUGAUGUGGAGAGUCCAAAUGAGGACCUGGAUUAGAUUGGUGAACGUGUUUAAGUUGAGGAAAUAUGGUUAGAAGAAGGACUUCUGAUAUUCUUAAUUUUAAUGUCUUUGAGUUUUAAUUAUAUUUCCAGGUAUAGUAGGACCUAUGGUUUUAUCAGUUUGGUAUGUUACUAUUACCAGGAGAUUGUGGACCCUUUGAUAUUUUUUUAUUAUUGCAUUUAAGAUUGUGUGGAGUUUGUAAUGAGAUUAUUGAGAAGAUAUGAGAUUGAUUUCAUUUA